rnacentral:rRNA from 1 species
UGCGCAGGCGGUUCUGUAAGUCAGAUGUGAAAUCCCCGGGCUCAACCUGGGAACUGCGUUUGAAACUACAGGACUAGAGUAUGGCAGAGGGGGGUAGAAUUCCACGUGUAGCAGUGAAAUGCGUAGAGAUGUGGAGGAAUACCAAUGGCGAAGGCAGCCCCCUGGGUCAAUACUGACGCUCAUGCACGAAAGCGUGGGGAGCAAACAGGAUUAGAUACCCUGGUAGUCCACGCCCUAAACGAUGUCUACUAGUUGUUGGGAGAGUAAAAUCUCUUAGUAACGCAGCUAACGCGUGAAGUAGACCGCCUGGGGAGUACGGUCGCAAGAUUAAA